AUACGUAGGGUGCAAGCGUUAAUCGGAAUUACUGGGCGUAAAGCGUGCGCAGGCGGUUUUUUAAGACAGUGGUGAAAUCCCCGGGCUCACCCUGGGAACUGCCAUUGUAACUGCAAGGCUGGAGUGCGGCAGAGGGGGAUGGAAUUUCUCGUGUAGCAGUGAAAUGCGUAGAUAUGCGGAGGAACACCGAUGGCGAAGGCAAUCCCCUGGGCCUGCACUGACGCUCAUGCACGAAAGCGUGGGGAGCAAACAGGAUUAGAUACCCUGGUAGUCCACGCCCUAAACGAUGUCAACUGGUUGUUGGGGAUUUAUUUUCUCAGUAACGAAGCUAACGCGUGAAGUUGACCGCCUGGGGAGUACGGCCGCAAGGUUAAAACUCAAAUGAAUUGACGGGG
rnacentral:rRNA from 1 species